rnacentral:rRNA from 1 species
AUACGAAGGUGGCGAGCGUUGUUCGGAUUUACUGGGCGUAAAGGGCGUGUAGGCGGAUCAGCAAGCCGGUGGUGAAAGGCCCGGGCUUAACCCGGGAUGGUCUUCCGGAACUGCUGGUCUAGAGAGAGUCAGAGGCAGGUGGAAUUCCCGGUGUAGAGGUGAAAUUCGUAGAGAUCGGGAGGAACACCCGUGGCGAAGGCGGCCUGCUGGGGCUCUUCUGACGCUGAGGCGCGAAAGCGUGGGUAGCAAACAGGAUUAGAAACCCCAGUAGUCC